GGUCUGCACUUCGGGUCCCAGCGGCACCUCUAACUUCCUCUUGGUGACCCAGAAGAAGAGCAGCACGGUGAUCCAGAGCACCCCGAAGAUGGGUAGCGCCAGGCGGCGAGUCAGGCGCCGCAUGGUCCCCUCUGUGUGCGCCCCUCUCGGUGGCGAGGCGUCCCUGGGGCACCCCCCGGCGGUCAGGGGCGGCGGGGCACGAGUCGCCGAGCGCCUCGCUCUAGGGGAAACGCUGCUCCCGGGAUCCCGAUGUUAGGUGGCGGGAUCCUGCCCCGCCCGCUUCAGAGAGAAGCCACAGCCGAGGACGGAGUGGCAAGGAGCCCCGAAGACUCCAGACCCGGCUAGGCAGGGGCGACGGGCAGCUUAGCCUGGCGCCCGAUCCAGCCGGAGAGCCGCGGUGGCCGCCGAGAUGCUGCUGCGCGCCGCGGCUGCCGUUGCCCUCGGCCGCCGCGAGGGAAACUGACUCGAGCAGCGGGUUUUAGGCCAUUCCUCAUCUUAAAAUGGAGGUGAGCACGGAAUUGCCUGAGCGUUCGGAGAGAAAAAGUGAAAGUUUUUGCGAAGUCUGGGGAGCAGUGGCCACGGGAGUGACGUUGUUUUAGUUGGAGGGAUGCUGGUUCCAAGUUUCUCCAGCUGUCCGCCUGUCACUCUCCUCCAGCUCACUGCACAGGCAGCAGCCUUUGUUCCUUUUGGAUCAGAUGCUUCAAGUCCCUUCUCCUUGUCCACCCCCUAGAGGCACAAGCCUUUGAGCCAACUCCUGCCGUGGACCCUGUUCAAGUUUUAGCUGUAAAUAAUUCAUCAGCCCCCUCUGCCUCUGUGUACUUGUUUCUUCUCGCCACCAUAGAUCCUGUGAAAACCACAUGUCCUGGGUCUCCUACCAGGACUUUCUUCUGCAGUAGAAAUGGAAUCAUCUGGGCUGAGAGGUGAAGGAGAAUGUGCUAUUAGCAACCCCCAUGCCCACCUUUUCUGCCAGGAUAACUGCAUUCCAGAAAGGUUGGCAUUCUCCUGUAUUAAGACAGAGCUGCCUCUCGGAUCUGAGUUGCAGAUUCAAAAACGAUGAGUGACAAGCAUCUCUCUCCAUGUGCUGGACCACCAGGCUGGGAGAUUUUGAAGCAGUACAGAUCACAGGGUUAAAAUCUAUUACCCAGAGAGAUGGGAAGGUUCCUCUCACUGAUUCCUUCACCCAGCUCAGCUCCCAGGCCUGAAUUCCAAAUUGAUUUCCUUAAUAACUAUUAAAGAUCUUUUUAAUUAA